ensembl:lncRNA
CAGAAACCAGCAGUACUACAAGAAUGGGAACUGAAAGUGUUCAGCUGCUCCAUAGUGGCUUCUGGAGCUGCAACACAGCAGCUAUAUAUUUGAAAACCACACAGCCUCAAUGAUCAUGAUACAACACUCUGAAGGUACUGCUCAAAGCAAGGACAAAUAUUGAGUAAGUGACAAAAUGAGCAUCUUUAAAGAAAAAUUCAGUCUCUUACUCUUGAGUGAUCUUUAACGCAAUAAUUUGAGCUCUCCAUCCUGUACAUCUGUGUUUAAUAAUUCAUGCUAACAUUCUGAAUUUCCCAUCAUUGCUUUUCUUAAUGAUGAGCAACAAGAGUUCCCUCAAUAUGUGCUAACAACUUCCUUUCUUGUCCUCAGGAAUGCCCUGCACGAGGUCAGGAGUUGCUGUGGUAAAAAGUGUUGUGUGUAGAAUCAGAACACCACUCCUGCUACAAAUGUUUGCAACCAGGGACUAAGGGGGUUGGCACAAAAAGAAGAACCUUGGUAGCUCCUCUCAGUUGAAUUAGUAUUUCCCAGCAAUACAAGUAGAGCUUUUCUCCUUUCUGUACUAACUUCUGGGAAGUAAAGAAGGAGAAAGAAAAUAGUUCUCAGCAUCAUUUCACCAUUCCUUGUGUACGGCCUUUUUGAUCCAGGCAUUCACUUAGCUCUGAUUUGGGAAGAAAGCUUUUUUCAGGCUGGGUUUAGGGAUCAUAAUUGCAUGCCAAGUGCUGUCAGUAGAAAAGGAGAGAUUUUGCUGUAUGCACAGAGGCCUUCUUGAGCUGGGCCCUCAGUAGCUAGCACUGUGACAGCAGAGCGGCACACAGGAGGAUGGCUUUGGGCCUGCUAGGGCAGUGGGAGAUGGACAGAGCACAGGGCUCACCAGCCCCUCGCUAACCCUGCUGUGGUCAUCUUUUAUACGAACAGAAGAAAACGGAAAAUACAACAGUGCUGAGAGAGAGAAGGGAGUCUGGACUGCAGCACCAUCUCCCCACCCACAGUGCCCCACAACCCGGCCUCUCGCAACAUGGCAGAGAAGCUCUGUGCAGGCCAAAUUUCUUAAUAAUCAGUCAUAUAAAGGGGAAAAACUUGAAGAGCUGAUGAGAAUUUUGUUCUUCACUCCUGCUCCGAUCAAUAUGAUGCCUUUCUCUGAGGACUCCAAGGGUGACAAUUGUGGUGAGACAUUUUGUAUGUGAUAUAACACCUGUUUACCAGGAACUGUGAGACCAUUUCUGCAAUAGCAGAAACAAAAUUCAAUCACCGUUGUAUUCACUUAUUUCGGAUUUGAAUCACAAAUCUUGAUGUACAAGAGACCACACCCAAUCACACAUUGAGCCUUAUGGGCUUUCUGACAUGGUUGUGUUAUUAACAUCAGAGACAUCACAGUCUGAAAUGAACUCUGAAGGCAUUCUGGUACAUUUUGUUUAUGUCAGUAAGAUUUUUUGGACGUAGCUUUUCAGGCAUACGUUUGCUUAUGACCAUUAGAGAGGAAGGUCUCAGUUUGGGAGCUGUUGUUGCAACCCAUGUAUAAAAUUGUAGUGAAAUUUCCAUACCUCUCCCAUUUUGCAGGUUUGUUAUGAAGUCCUCUGAAAUAUUACCAAAGCUCUAAAAUGAAGAUAAAAACACCAGGGUAGAUUCAAGGCCUGUUUGCCCUGAAAUACUUCUGCAUUCCAUUUGUGGCUGAUUCAGUGAUAAGGUAAAUUUCUGGAGGGUACAGCUUUAGUUUUCAGAUCUUUUUUUUUUUUUUUUUCUUUCUAAACUAGAAGAGGAAAAGAAUAAACCUUGGCUGAUUGGAUCGUCUUAGCA